AGCUUUGUGCCGUGGUAGUAUUGGAGUCAAUGAGGUUGAUCCGAGGCGUGAUAAUUGCUGGUGGACAUGGACCCUGCUUGGUUGUGGAAUUAACAUGCUCCCUGAGAGCAGUGCUCCUCUGGAGCUCUGAACUGUGUCUGGAAUGGGGAUUUUUGGCCUCUGCUUUGAACUCUGUGCUGUAGAGCAG
ensembl:snRNA U4 U4 spliceosomal RNA